AAUCUGUUGACUCCCACUAUUGGACUCGAACGAAGCAUUUCAUUACUGGUAAGUAUGCCCUGACCGACUGUGACGGAGUGUCUGAACUGGCCCUUGAAUAUUGGCACUGGAAUCGGUCGUUGCUCCCAAUAUUCAAGGUAAUUGAAGAUUAAUAAAAGUCUCCUUUCUUUAUAUUUUCACGAUAUACUCGUGUUACAACACAACAACGUAUAUAGUAGCUCUUAUCCAAAAUAGAUGAGUAUAAGUUGUCAAAGCUUCACCAUCACUCUUGCAUAGCUUGACAAUUCCAUAUU
rnacentral:lncRNA from 1 species